rnacentral:tRNA from 1 species
UAUCCCACUUCUAACAAAAUAUUGUAUUAGAUUUAGAAUCUAAUUAUCCCUUU